rnacentral:lncRNA from 1 species
UUAGCUAUAUAAAGCCUAAGUUUCACCUAAAAAAAUAUGAACUUCUUUGUUGGGAGGUAUAUCUCUCACUCUAUAUAUAUAUAUAUCCCCACAACACUACUUCCUUUGCUGCAUUAGAUGAGAAUUCUUAUUUAAACAAAGAGUGAGGAAAAUUGAGAGAGAGAGAGAGAGCUUUCUUUGGUCCAAGCAGAGGGGCAGUAUGAUUCAAUUUGCUGCUGACUCAUUCAUCCAAAUGCUGAGUAACAAUACAAGUUUUACUCAGCAGCUGAUUGAAUGAAGUGGGAGCUAAGUUGAAUCUUAACACUUGCUAUUCUUGGACUGAAGGGAGCUCCCUCAUCAUCCCCUAUAUAACACUUAUUAUCUAUUUCUUUUGUUUUAGUUGAUUAUUAUCUUUUUUCUUGCAGAUUGUUUUACCCUAAUCUCUUCACUUUUUUCAUGUGGAGGAACAUUAGACUGUAUGUUUCUUUAUGUACAUGGUAUGCAUCUUUAUUGGACAUUGAUAUUACUGUUAAAUUUUGUAUUUUGAGAUUUUGAUUUAGGGUUUUGUUUGGAUGGGCAAGUGAAGAACAAAUGGCGUUUCUUGGGCGUUGGUAGCAACAAGUUCCCAGGCAUGUGAAGUGGAAGUUGCAAUUACCCAAAUGCCCCUUCAUCUUCCAAGCCAACUGUAUUUUUUCCACCAUUAUGUAAUAUUUUUUAAUCUAAUUUGAUUAUAUGUUCGAGUUUCUAUGUACAAUUUAACCCCAGUAACUUAGACUAGCUAGGGUUUCUCUCAACAAUCUUGGUU